GUCGUGGACUGAAUUCUAUCCCCCCAAAUUCAUAUAAUGAAGUCCUAAUGCCCCCCAGGAAAAGGACCUUUAAGGGGAAAAUUAAGGUUGAAUGAGGUCAUAAGGGUGGGGCCCUAAUCCAGUAAGAGGAAGAGAUGCCAGGAGUUGCGUGUGCACAGAGGAAAGGCCACGUGAGGACACAGAGGGAAGGUGGCUGUCUGCAAAUCCAGGAGAGAGGCCUCACGAGAAAGCCAUCUUGUUAGCAUCUUGAUCUUGGACUUCCGGCCUCCAGAACUGUGAGAGAACACAUUUCUGUUGUUUAAGCCCCCGGCGUGUGGUAUUUUAUUACGGCAGCCCUAGGACACGGGUACGGCUGCCAACCCAUGACUCACUUUUGUUCCCAUUCCUUUGUAUCUUCUUUCCCCUUGUCCCUCUCUGAUAAGAAAUUAAAUAACAUAUAGAUGUGGUGGUUAAAAAAACAUGUCCAUAAAUCCUUGCUAUACCUCCUUUCCAGAAGAGCUGAACUCCUCUCCCCUUGAGUGAGGGCCAGACUUAGUGACUCUCUUCUGACAAGUAGAAUGAGGUAGAAGUGACUGUGUAUGACUCAGAGGCUCAGUCAUAAAAGGCACUGUGGCUCCCUCUCUCUCUCUCAGAUCACUUCCUUUGAGGGACGCCAGCCACCAUGUUGAGCAGUCCUAUGAAUAGGCCGUUCGAUGAGGAACUAAGGCCUCAAGUCAAUAGCCAUAUGAGGGCGCCAUCUUAGAAGUGGACCCUCCAGCCCCAGUGAAGCUUUCAGGUGACUGCAGCCCUUGCCAACCUCUUGACUGCAACCUCACGAGAGACUCUGGGCCAGAAACAUCCAACUAAGCAGCUCUCAAAUUCCUGAGCAUUAUUCACAAUAGCCAAGACUUGGAAGCAACCUAGGUGCCCAUCAAGGGACGAAUGGAUAAAGAAGAUGUAGUGUAUAUAUACCCGAUGGAAUACUACUCAGCCAUAAGAAAUGAUGAAAUCUGUCCACUUGUGACAACAUGAAUGGACCUUGAGGGCAUUAUGGAGAAGACAAGCUGAAAGAUGGAAGGGUGUGAAGCAGAGCGCGGCUGAACAUAAGGACAGAAAGCGCCUAGAACCUUGCAGACACAACUGAGCGGCUGCAUCAAACCUGGCUUGCCUCCUUCCAAGCUUCUCCUUAGGUGAUCAGGAGCAAGUUUCUUACUCUCUCCAAGCCCCAGUUUCUUCACCUGCAAAGAGAAGGAGAUCAGCAGUCAGGACCCAUUCCCCAGGGCCAUUGUGAGAAAUAAAUAGCAGAACAAUGGUGAGUAAUAGCUGUAAUUUACCAAAGGCGCCGGCCUGGCCCCAAGCUCUUCUCCUGCAGUGUCUUUAGUCCCUGGCCUGCAGCCCAUGCCGGUGCUCAGCAAACGUUCCCUUUCAGUCCUAGGAGCCAAUUUUAUAGUGGUAAAGGUGACGGGGUGGCAGCCCUGCUUAGGGGAGGCUGGUGAGAGAACAUAGGGCCUUAUGGGCCAGUGUCCUUCACAAAGCGAGGCAGGGGUGGCUGAAGACACCCUUCUUUAAUUUACAAACGAGUCUGGGCGUUGGGAGCAGGGAGGGUGCGGGGUGGAGUGAAGAGGAAGGAAUGAGGUUGAAGUGUGGAGCCCACAAGAAAAGUACCAUGUCUUGCCCCUGUCUGCACUGCUCUCCUACUCGCGCUCCUGACUUCACACAGCUGCUUCUGUUCUGCACUUUCCCUUGGGCUCAGUGGUUGGUCCCAACUCAGACCUAGUAAGGGGCGAGGCUGAGAUUCAAACACACAUCUGUCUCAGGAUGCUGUUUUUCCACACAGCCAUGUCAUGCCCUUUUCAAAUGAUCUGAAUGACAGUUAUUUCUUACUAUCUGGUCUGACAUGUUAGACACAGCUUUGGGACUGGGGGAUGUAGAGGGGUGGGGGCAGAAGAAGACAGGUGACCUGCGGUUGGUCUCAGAAACCCCAUUUUAUGGUCCCAGUUAUCCAGGAAGAUGGUUCCCAACAGCGCCUAGGCUUCUGAGGUUUGCAUCACUGUUUGAUGGGCCUGCAGAUAAAGUUUGUUCUGCAUCCAGGGUGAGCUCAGAUGGGCUCAUCAGCAGUGCUGACCCCUUCAGAGGGGGUGACGGCUGUCUGACCUUGGGAACCCAGUCACUUCCCAAGAAACACACAGAUCAGCAAUAAGCUGGGAACAGAUUCUAAGAGUUAGGAGGGGAUGAUUCUAAAAUCAAUGUUUAUUAGAGAGGAGGGCCUUCCCUUUUUUCUAUUCCUCUCUCCAGGGGUCUUUGUCUCUAAACUGGGCUUUAAAUGUAGAGUGGGAGAUCUAAUAAUACUCAUAAGAAUCAAAUGGAGAAUGAGUUUAAAAUGCAUAUUCCCUGGCCCUGCCGCCAACCUUCUCAUUCAGAUGGUCUGGGGGUGGGAAUCAAGAAUGAGCUUUUAAAAAAUAAAUGCCCAGGUGAUUCUUUUUCAGGUGUUUUUGGACAUUUCUCCAAGAGUGGCCAGAAGACCAUUGCAUCAGAUGAGCACCUGGAGUCUUGUGAAAAACACAAAUUCCAUAGACAUCCUGAAUUUUAAUCUGCAGGGGUGGCGUUGGAGGGGAUGAGAAGAGAAGCCUAGGAUUCUGCAUUUUAAAGGGGCUUCUCAGGGGAUGGUUGACUGGUAAAUUUUAGGAAUCAACUACCUAGGGAAUAGCAAAAUGUUCCCUUAGAUGGGCCAAGGCCUGGGGGAUCUAUUUCUGCUGAAGCUCAUUAAGCCACUUUGGGUUUAUGUUCAUGAGGAAACCACAACCCCAAGACCCAAGUGAGGAAUAAGAACACACAGUUUUGAGAAGAGGAAUUAAGUAAUAACCAACAAUGCUUCCACAUCUAAGAAUUUUUCUAACGUUUCUCCAGUAGGAACACCACAACACGUUUACCCUCUUUCUAUCCUUACUUUGCCUGCAGCACAAGUUUUCUUACAUAUAGAUGCUCAAAAAAUGCCCAUUACAUUGACUUGAAUGUAUUCCCCUUUGAAGAGCCAUACUUUCAACAAGUACUUUCAUAUAUUUUUUACUGGUGGUGUUUGGACAAGCUUACGUGUAUACAUGGGCAAGGGGCAGAAGCGGUGGGUGAACAAAAGUGGGUUUCAUAAACAAGGGAGAUAAAACUUAGCGAGUUCCUGAGGAGACAGGUUGUAGCAGGAAACAUAACUACAAGUUCUCAUUUUGGUUUACUUCCUCUCUUGCCUUGGGAUCUUAAGCAAGCUACUUUCAUUUCUCUAUUUCAACUGGGCCUCUUUUUUUUUUUUUUCUUUUUUUAAGGAAUAUGCUUUGUGGAAUUAUUUUAAGAAGUAACUAAUACGAGAUCGGAAAGCACCUUUUCCUCUUAGCCAAAAUUGUGCACAAGAGAAUCUCCACCAUCUGGGCCAGUUCAAUGAAAGAAGUGAAUUUUCCUUUUUUUCUCUUUCCUUCCUCCUUUCUAUAAAGUUCAUUCACUUAGUAAAUGUUUACUGAGAAUUCAUUAUAUGCUAGAAGCUGUGAAGACUUCUGGGACAGCAAACAAGACAUAGUUACUCCCCGCUAUGAUUGGAAAAGCUAGAGCAUUAAGGGUCUGAAAAGAGAAGUUGAAGGAUCAGAGAAAAGUCACUAGCCCUCCUGUAGUGCUGGCACAGGUGGGCCAGAUGGAGCUUGCAAAGUCUUCCGGGAAGCCAGGCACUUCAGCUGUCAGAGUGGAACCGUCCAGCCUGGAGACUCUGUUGGUCAGCAGGGCCUGCACUUGAGAGAAGAGCUGGGUGUAAAGCAGGGGAGAGCAAGGACAUACGGAACCUGCCACCAGUAUGGCGGAGAGUGGGGACAAGCUGGGAUAUGCCAGCCUCUCUGCGUGCUUCUCCCAGAGCAUGCUGCUUUAAGUCCUAGUACCAAAUAGGGAGAGAAUCUACCUACCAAAUCUCAUGCCAGCUUCUUUUUUUUCCAACUCUAACAUGAAUCAUGCAAGAAAGGGGAUUCUGGGAACAGUAGUUCCAACUAGUCCAAAUUAACACCAUACAUAUGAGGAGCUGGCUAAAAAAGUGAUGAAAGUUCGCCAGGAGGCCAACACACAAUUGAAAGUGGAAAAAUCAAUGUUAAGAUUGUGAGCAAAAGUGCUUGUUUAGGUCACAAGCUGUUUGUAAGUCCUCAAGACUUCUCUAAGUGGUCUCGUGUGUCAGCGCUAGAAUUGUCCUACCCACGGCAACUGCUACAUAAUGUGAGGGUAGAAGUCAGCUGGUAAAUGUAAGGCCAAUACCCCAACACAGCAACCACAGGUGCAACAGUUUAGGAAGAUCACUGGGUUUUUAUAUCUCCGGGUGACACAACAGUUAUUAACAAUCACUUUAAAUUUUAAUUUUUUGUCACAUGCAGAUUUAUGAGGUAUGGAAUGCUCAUCUGUUCAAACAUUUGUUAAUGCUUCUUGUAUGCCACAGCAAAGAAAAGUGAAACAUCCUACUGGCCUCUGCAUGAACCAAACACACACCCUUCCACCAGCUUUUGCUUACCGUACAUCAAAUUCCCUGCCCGACCGUGCCAGAUUCCCCACAAGGUUUACAAGAAAUAAAACCUGGGGAUAAGGGAGAGAGAAAGAGCCACAUGACAAAGUCACAGGCUCUGAGGUUUCAUAGACAAUCCAGAAGAACUGGUCAUAACUCCUUAAAUUAAGGUGAUUUGGUUAAAAAUAGCAGAACUUCCAGGGAACUAGCUCCAAUCUAAAGGGGGAUUUAUAAUGAGGACAGUGGCUCAUCUCACGAGACACAAGGGCAGGAAUGCAGCCAGCCUUCAUCAGGGACGGAAACCGAGAAAUGAAGUCAGGAGCACCCCAGCCCAUUUCAUUUCUGCUUCUCUCUGUGCAUUUGCUCCUUCUCCCGCCAGGCUGUUGUCUCUGUUCCUCAAAGCACAAGAUGGAAUACAGCUGCCUCUCUUGAGUUUGAAGUUAUAGUUUGAAGCCAUUGGAGACUGACUUUCUUUAAGUCCUAAUGAUGUGGAUUAAGGCUGCCCCAGCUAGAGAAGCCCAAGGUGACCUGGCCUACAUGCCAAACUAUACGACCCAGUGGACUUUUUUUAUGGUAUGAAUUAGGACCGCCCCAGGGAGAGAAGCCCAGGGCAUCCUCACCUACAUGCUGAUCUAUAUGGCCAGAUUCGUAUCUAAAGUUAUAUGACCGCACAAUAACCAGACCCCAUCUGCACUGAAAUCAUUUAAUGACUUUUUACAUCAUCUUUUCUUUUCUCCAGUAAAAAUAAGUCACGUACCCGUGCCUUAUAAAAUUAGCCCUAACCCUCAACUCGGGGCAGCAGCAGGAGCUCUGACUGCCCAUGGGUCCUGUCCCCAUGCAGCAGCAGCAGGAGCUCUGACUGCCCAUGGGACCUGUCCCCAUGCAGCAGCAGCAGGAGCUCUAACCGCCCGUGAGUCCUGUCCCCACGCACCAGCUCUGCCUGCCCAUGGGUCCUGUCCCCAUGCCAGCAGGGGCAGCAGCAGCUGCUCUGCCUGCCCAUGGGCCCUGUCCCCAUGCUAUUCCACACUAUUCUCUAAAUAAAAGAGCGCUACUGCCAGAUCUUGAGAGUCUAAGAAAUCUUUCUUUCGACUCCUCGGCUCACCGACCCCGCAUCACUAAUACCAAAUAGGGUAAGAAUCUGAUUGGUUAAACUUGGAUUCAAGGUCCUUUCCUUGAACCAAUAAGCCUUGGUGGUGGGAGAAAGGGGGAACUUCAGUACAAACCUGCAGCCAGGGCCCCAUCUCAGUGAGUGGGGGAGCACCCGGUCUCAACACACUGACUUGACUUAUAGAGGAUACAAGGUUAAUCUAAUGCCAAUCAAGUGUAUGGAGAUAAAUGACUUCCUAGGGAGACUCCAAAAAUCAAGCCUACUCUUCAGCUUCCUACAGACAGUAACAGAAACAGCAGGAGCCAAUGCAAAGUCAGAGGCCUGAAGAUAUGAGCAUUGCGGGAACUGCGGUAAAGUCAGCACCAAUUAAUCAAUGUCCGAGAGUGUAGUAGACCUUGUUGAAGGCCUCCCUGAACCAUUUCCCCUGCUUCCUUGCUGUUAGAGCUCUGGUUUUGUUCAGGUAUCUAUCCUCCUCCGCUUGCUCCUGGGCUUGUGUGGAUACUGGC
rnacentral:lncRNA from 1 species